UCUCCAGACAUUCCACACUCCCCGCUCUAUGCUGAUCCCUACACACCACCAGCUAUAGCUCACCACAAGAUUACAGACAUCCAAGGCCUGGAUGAGUUCCUCUGUGCAGUACAGACAUCACCUGGACCUGAACUAUCAAGCCCGUUCCCCUCAGUCUCUGUGUCUGUGCCUGUCUCUGACUCCAACUCUGGAAUCUCCAGCUCCCCCCGGCCUCUGGGCUCACACUUGCUCUCCAAGAAAGGAGCCCUGCAGUCCAGAGCUUCCCAGAGACACCGGGGUUCCAUCAAGAGCAGGGCCCCACAGCCCUCAGACUUCCCUCAGCUUGUCACACCUGCCAGAGAAGGUACACCCAGUUCCCUGCCACCUCCCCCAGAUGAAGAGGCUCCUAUCUGGAACAAGACUUCCUCUCCCUCCCACCAGAAGUGGUCACAUCCCAGGAAGCCUGCGGUGGAAGGGGGAUUCAUCCAGUGGAUCUGAUGGCCCCCGAGUGAGCUGCUGCUUCUCAAAAAACACAAACAGCCAGCACCAACCGGGAUAAGAGUAUGCAGUUCGGCCAGUCCUUUGACUUAUAUUAAAUACACCAGGGCCUAACCCCAUCAGGUCGAGGGUGUUUCUAGAAUUUUGAGGAUAGAGGCACCUCUCACCAGGCUCUAGCUACUCAGCUUUAGCAGUUGGAACAAAUGAAAGGAGGUAACCCUAGGAACGAACCAGUGAGGGACAUCAGUAAGAUUCUGUACAACCCCAGAAGCUAUACCUCUAGGGGGAGAGGUGGGGGUGCUAGUGCAGGUCUUUACUUAGAAGUGGGGAACAGCAUGCGUGUGAAAUACAGAGCACUGAAAAAGUCAGGUUGUCAAACCCAGCCUGUGAAGCCAGAAGGCAUGAGGGUCAGAGAUCAUUAGGGUGAGAGCUAUUACAAGAAGCAAAGGAGUAUAGGAAAAGCUAGUACUGUUGGGUGCACAGGGUAAGGUUGGUCAGAAAAAUGAACACCAUAAACAAGAAAGAGAUUUUAUUGGU
rnacentral:lncRNA from 1 species